rnacentral:rRNA from 1 species
AUUGAACGCUGGCGGCAGGCCUAACACAUGCAAGUUGAACGAGUGGCGGACGGGUGAGUAAUGUCUGGGAAACUGCCCGUUGGAGGGGGAUAACUACUGGAAACGGUAGCUAAUACCGCAUACCAUCGGAUGUGCCCAGCUGGGAUUAGCUAGUAGGUGGGGUAAGGGCUCACCUAGGCGACGAUCCCUAGCUGGUCUGAGCGGAUGACCAGCGACACGGGGACGGGGAAGCGGUCGAGAGGCCUACGGUGGGGAGCGGUGGGGAAGAGUGCGCAAGGGGCGCAAGCCGGAUGAAGUCAUGCAGCGUGGAUGAAGAAGGCCUACGGGUUGUAAAGCAGUUUCAGCGGGGAGGCGUUACUCGCAGAAGAAGCAACGGCUAACUCCGUGCCAGCAGCCGCGGUAAUUC